CAGGAGUCUAUGAAAGUAAAGUUCCACACGUAUUAUAAAACUAUAUUCUUCCAAAAUUUUUUACCACAAAUAUAAAACUUGGAAUUUAAUAGAUAUUUAUCAUCCAUACAUAUGAAGAAGAAAAUACGGACCUGCUAACUUUAUCAUCUGCAUGUUACUUUGGGCUAUGCCAGAAUAUGCUUUUUCGGUUUCAUCUUGGAAGAUCUGCAGAAACUUCCUUUUUAUAGGAACAACAUCGUCCAAGGUAGGUUCAGAUGAUACUUUAGAUCUGAGAAACGUUGCUCUUUCCAAAUUUUGUUGAUUUGUGUUUCGCAGAUAAGGUGUGCCAAUUAACAAUUCUGUUAGUUCCUUAGAUAAAAUAUCACUUGUCCCUACACACGACCAACUCUUCCAUUUCAGUGAAGAUUUUCCUGUUGUCAUUCCGGGAUUUUGCAAUAUUUGAAUAUAUAGUAAAUUGAUAAAAACACUAUGAAUUGAAAAGAGAGACAAUCAAUAAAAUCUUUAUGCAUAGCCUAGUAUAAAAAUACAUUAACACGCGAAAAAGUAAUUUUAAGAGCAAUAAAAAUAUCAAUAUAACCUUUAGCCCAAAAAAUAAGUUCUUCUUUCCAUUUUAAUAUAAUCUGUUCCUGAAACGCACACCCCUUUCCCAUCAUUUUAUCUUCCACCUGUGUUUUCGAUAAAGCCAACAACUUUUUUGUCUAACACAAUAAAUAAAACUGGAUUAAUUUAAUAGCCAUUAAUAACUGUUCAAUUAUUUUUCCAUCUUUAUUUGCCUUAUUUACCAGUUUUUACAUGCUGGAUGUUGUGCUAGCAUUUAUUCUUUAUAACAUUAAUAUAAAGGGUAAUGACAACAGUAUAACAUUGCAAGGGCCUUUAAAUCCUACCUAAAGAAUUUCUUUUGUAAGGUGGAUGAUAAUUUGAUGACUUUCUGACGAUUCCAAGACAAUACCAUGCAGGUAAUUGUAUCAUUUCGAACUAUGGUGAGAGACUCUCGAAGAUUAACAUACCUUCACGCAACUGAUGCUUUGUUGAAUUUCCUAAACGAGACAAAUAACUGUUGACCUGCUCCACCU